AGGGAAUUGGUCCAGUCAGGUUAGGACGCAGCAUUUGGGAUGCUGAGGUCAAGAGUUCAAAUCUCUUAUUCCCUA
rnacentral:tRNA from 1 species